AUACGAAGGGGGCUAGCGUUGUUCGGAAUUACUGGGCGUAAGGCGCGCGUAGGCGGAUUGGUCAGUUAGGGGUGAAAUCCCAGGGCUUAACCCUGGAACUGCCUCUAAUACUGCCAGUCUCGAGUUCGGGAGAGGUGAGUGGAAUUCCUAGUGUAGAGGUGAAAUUCGUAGAUAUUAGGAAGAACACCAGUGGCGAAGGCGGCUCACUGGCCCGAUACUGACGCUGAGGCGCGAAAGCGUGGGGAGCAAACAGGAUUAGAAACCCCGGUAGUCC
rnacentral:rRNA from 1 species